CCCAUGAGGGAACGUAACAGUCGAGCGGAUGACGGGAGCUUGCUCCUUGAUUAGCGGCGGACGGGUGAGUAAUGCCUAGGAAUCUGCCUGGUAGUGGGGGACAACGUUUCGAAAGGAACGCUAAUACCGCAUACGUCCUACGGGAGAAAGCAGGGGACCUUCGGGCCUUGCGCUAUCAGAUGAGCCUAGGUCGGAUUAGCUAGUUGGUGAGGUAAUGGCUCACCAAGGCGACGAUCCGUAACUGGUCUGAGAGGAUGAUCAGUCACACUGGAACUGAGACACGGUCCAGACUCCUACGGGAGGCAGCAGUGGGGAAUAUUGGACAAUGGGCGAAAGCCUGAUCCAGCCAUGCCGCGUGUGUGAAGAAGGUCUUCGGAUUGUAAAGCACUUUAAGUUGGGAGGAAGGGCAGUAAGUUAAUACCUUGCUGUUUUGACGUUACCGACAGAAUAAGCACCGGCUAACUCUGUGCCAGCAGCCGCGGUAAUACAGAGGGUGCAAGCGUUAAUCGGAAUUACUGGGCGUAAAGCGCGCGUAGGUGGUUCGUUAAGUUGGAUGUGAAAGCCCCGGGCUCAACCUGGGAACUGCAUCCAAAACUGGCGAGCUAGAGUACGGUAGAGGGUGGUGGAAUUUCCUGUGUAGCGGUGAAAUGCGUAGAUAUAGGAAGGAACACCAGUGGCGAAGGCGACCACCUGGACUGAUACUGACACUGAGGUGCGAAAGCGUGGGGAGCAAACAGGAUUAGAUACC
rnacentral:rRNA from 1 species